rnacentral:rRNA from 1 species
UACGAAGGGUGCAAACGUUGCUCGGAAUUAUUGGGCGUAAAGCGCACGUAGGCGGCUUAGCAAGUUGAAUGUGAAAUCCCUCGGCUUAACCAAGGAAGUGCAUCCAAAAACUGCUGAGCUUGAGUACUUAAGAGGAUCGCGGAAUUCCCGGUGUAGAGGUGAAAUUCGUAGAUAUCGGGAGGAACACCAGUGGCGAAGGCGGCGAUCUGGGAAGAUACUGACGCUGAGGUGCGAAAGCGUGGGGAGCAAACAGG